UACGGAGGGUGCAAGCGUUAAUCGGAAUUACUGGGCGUAAAGCGCACGCAGGCGGUCUGUCAGGUCGGACGUGAAAUCCCCGGGCUCAACCUGGGAACUGCAUUCGAAACUGGCAGGCUAGAGUCUUGUAGAGGGGGGUAGAAUUCCAGGUGUAGCGGUGAAAUGCGUAGAGAUCUGGAGGAAUACCGGUGGCGAAGGCGGCCCCCUGGACAAAGACUGACGCUCAGGUGCGAAAGCGUGGGGAGCAAACAGG
rnacentral:rRNA from 1 species